CCGAAACGCAAUCCUGUCGGUAAAAUUCUUUCGUGUAACGAUCGAAGUCGUGUCCCGUGCGCGUCAACGAAAACGACGCCGGUCGGACCGUGGAAAAGGAAACAACAGCAGCAGCUGAGUAUCAUAAAUAAUCAUUUCCAAACCGUCACCAUCCAAUCAAAAGGAUAAUAUAAAGAAAAGAGCAGAAAUUAAUUGAAUUAGUGCAGCAUCUUCUAUGAUUUUAUUGUGUCCGUUUAAAAUUAUUUUUGGUAUAAUGUUUUAAUGCAAAUAACAAAAA
rnacentral:lncRNA from 1 species